GUUUUAUAUGGCUAACUAAUCUAAUCCAUUUGUAAUGGAUUUAUUAUCGUCACAGAAAUCAAGAGAUAACCAUUUAUUGUCUGCGGAACGUUUACGCAGAGCCGGAGAGCUAAUCCUACAUGGGUUAGUUGCUCGACUAGCCGGCCAUCAAGUGGCUUGAUAGAGUAAUGCAGGUGUGUGCGCGCGUGUGUGGAAAGCAUCUGAUCUGGAACGCUGUCUUUUCCCGCGCCCACCUUCUCUCUCCCCUCUCGCCUGCGCGCUCCGACCCGCUCGCUCUCCAGCCAUCGCCAGGAGCAGUGUGUGGUAGGCUACAGUUUAACAGCAGCAGCGCUGGCUUUCUAAAGAAAGCUUAGCUCUCACUUUUCUGUCUGUCUUAUUACCGCUCUCAUUGUCUCUUGCGACAGCUGGAACGGAGCAGCCACCUACUCUCCUCCUCAACCAUUUAUUCACUUGGGGCCUGUAUUUGGAAUAAGAAAGCAUUGCUGUUUCUGACUGGAGAGAAGGAAGAUAAAACUCAUCUGGAUUUCCUAAGGAAUUUUAUCUGGAUGCUUUGUUACCGAGGCUUUUGAAUUCAUCAGCCGGGGUAAAUAUCCUUUCAGAUCAAUGACCAGGAAGGAGAGGGGAUGGGGAAAGGAUGGUAUAGGAAGAGUAUUGGGACGUAGCUGUUGUGCUUGCUUACCUCUCCCUACCAGCAGCCUCGGGGCUCUCAGAGCUCUGCUCUAAUUAGGCCUCAGUCAUUUCACCCUCUUACUUCACGGCUGAUACUACAGGGAAGUUGUCGGCAUACCAGGGCAUGCUAGCAUUUCUUACUGACACCAUGAGGGGCACAUUUGGUCUUUGUUACAGAAUAUGUGUGUGGAUUUGUUGUAGAAUAAGUAUGGUGGUUUUGUGGUCAGACAACUGUGUGAGAGGCUGCUGCAGUGUACUGUACUUAUACAAGUGAUUUUGGUUUUAAAAGAACGAGGAGAUACUAUAAUUGAUGGACUACUGUUUUUGAAUGUUUUCAUAGGUAUUUGUAUGAUACAUUUAUUGUUAGUUUAGGAACUGAUGAUUUUGCAUAUUGUUUAUUAGGCAAUAUGUAUUCUGCUGAAACCACAUAAUUGCUUUAAUUAAACCUUACAAUGAUUAACCUUAAUACUGUUGCUAAAUUAGAUAAAUGUAUUAAUUUUGUGACGUUAGCAGUUUCUUAUAAGACAAUGGCUGUUCCACUUAGAAUAUAUUUUUGUUAUUAAAAUC
ensembl:lncRNA